rnacentral:rRNA from 1 species
AGCGAACGCUGGCGGCAGGCUUAACACAUGCAAGUCGAGCGGGCACUUUCGGGUGUCAGCGGCGGACGGGUGAGUAACGCGUGGGAACGUGCCCUCUGGUUCGGAAUAACUCAGGGAAACUUGAGCUAAUACCGGAUACGCCCUUUUGGGGAAAGGCUUGCUGCCGGAGGAUCGGCCCGCGUCUGAUUAGCUAGUUGGUGAGGUAACGGCUCACCAAGGCGACGAUCAGUAGCUGGUCUGAGAGGAUGAUCAGCCACACUGGGACUGAGACACGGCCCAGACUCCUACGGGAGGAAGAAGUGGGGAAUAUUGGACAAUGGGCGCAAGCCUGAUCCAGCCAUGCCGCGUGAGUGAUGAAGGCCUUAGGGUUGUAAAGCUCUUUUAUCCGGGACGAUAAUGACGGUACCGGAGGAAUAAGCCCCGGCUAACUUCGUG